UACGUAGGGGGCUAGCGUUGUCCGGAAUCAUUGGGCGUAAAGAGCGUGUAGGCGGCCCGGUAAGUCCGCUGUGAAAGUCGGGGGCUCAACCCUCGAAUGCCGGUGGAUACUGUCGGGCUAGAGUGCGGAAGAGGCGAGUGGAAUUCCUGGUGUAGCGGUGAAAUGCGCAGAUAUCAGGAGGAACACCGGUGGCGAAGGCGGUGGUCUGGGCCGGCACUGACGCUGAGGAGCGAAAGCGUGGGGAGCGAACAGG
rnacentral:rRNA from 1 species